CUUUUCUUUUUAGUCUGUUUCUGUUUUAAAAAAUUGUCUCUUUCCUUUUUAGGCAAUUCAUUAAUUUUAAUUUUACACAUGACAUGUUCAAGACGACAAGCUUAAAUGACAUUUUGAUACAUUAUACGUAUCUUUAAUUUAACACUACAAGAUUCAUAAGUCUUCUUUUACUUUCUUAAACUUUGUGUCAAAUCAAAAUCAGACUUAACAUUAACCCAACACUAAAAGGUCCAAACUCUUGUGUCAUCUCUGGAGAAAGCAUGUGACCCUCGUACUCUAUGCGGGCAUCUCUCCUAGACACAGAGACAAAGUGACCUCUCGAUUAUCAUAUUACCCCUCAAAACACAUACACUAAUUCAUUCGUUUUGCUCGGAAAAGGACCUCCGAUCGGUGAAGGACAUACUUUUUCUUUUGGCGUUCAUUGGUGGAGAAAUUGUGUCCAGUUGCAAAAGAUUCAGUGAAUAAGCUAUGGUCCUUGAAGUUAAUAUAUCUUCACCUCAUAGGAGGUCACAGUCGCAGACUGCAUUUUCAACUUCAUCAUCAUUUAAAAGACAACAACGAGGUGAUGAAUUUGGGAGCUGUUCGACUCUACUUCAGCGUCACCGCUUCCUGCUAACUGCACUUGUCCUCCUAGCAUUUCUCUGCACUAUCUAUCUCUACUUUGCAGUCACAUUUUCCGGUGACUCAUGUUCUGGCUUGAAAGGGACUGAAAAAGCAGCAUGCUAUGUGGAGCAUGGAAAAGCAUCAAUCGCCAAAGGAAAACUCAAGUUCUUCUAGCACAUUGAUGGUUUUCUAGCUGAAAUAGUGUUUUGCUGAAUGAUUGCUCCUUUCCUUAUGAGGGGCAUACCAUGUUGCUCAGUGUAACUAUUCCUCACAUGUUCUUUCAGACUUGUGUGCAAUAGUUCGUUUAUAUAUAUCAAAUUGCACAAAAUUUGGUCCAGGAUACUAUUUGACAUCGGUGAGGAGUUCUCUGUUGCUAAAGGAAUCGAUCGUGGAUGUUAGAGCCCGUUAUUUGAGUGGCAUUUUCUUGUGGUAUAUGGAUGUAAACGAUGAUGAUGAAUCAACUAGGAACGUAGCAUUAUAAUAUGCAAACGUAAAGAUAGUUUGGCCAUACCGAAGGCCUUUCAAAUCCAUUUUUAGGUUUCAGUUUUCUUUUGACAUUUAUUCUUUUGGGUGAAAAUAUAUUCAUAGUUUAAAUA